UCGAGGGGCAGCGGGGUAGUGCUCGCACUACUGCCGGCGACCGGCGCACGGGUGAGUAACACGUAUGGAACCUGCCCGCAGCAGGGGGAUAAGCGGAAGAAAUUCCGUCUAAUACCGCGUAAGAACGUUGGGAGGCAUCUCCCGAUGUUUAAAGAUUUAUCGGCUGCGGAUGGCCAUGCGGCGCAUUAGCUAGUCGGCGGGGUAACGGCCCACCGAGGCGACGAUGCGUAGGGGUUCUGAGAGGAAGGUCCCCCACACUGGUACUGAGACACGGACCAGACUCCUACGGGAGGCAGCAGUGAGGAAUAUUGGUCAAUGGCCGAGAGGCUGAACCAGCCAAGUCGCGUGAGGGAAGACGGCCCUACGGGUUGUAAACCUCUUUUGUCGGGGAGCAAAGCGAACCACGUGUGGUUCAUUGAGAGUACCCGAAGAAAAAGCAUCGGCUAACUCCGUGCCAGCAGCCGCGGUAAUACGGAGGAUGCGAGCGUUAUCCGGAUUUAUUGGGUUUAAAGGGUGCGCAGGCGGAGGUGCAAGUCAGCGGUCAAAUUGCGGGGCUCAACCCUGUCGAGCCGUCGGAACUGGCAGUCUUGAGUGGGCGAGAAGUAUGCGGAAUGCGUGGUGUAGCGGUGAAAUGCAUAGA
rnacentral:rRNA from 1 species